UACGGAGGGGGCUAGCGUUGUUCGGAAUUACUGGGCGUAAAGCGUGCGUAGGCGGUUUGUUAAGUCCGUUGUGAAAGCCCUGGGCUCAACCUGGGAAUUGCAGUGGAUACUGGCGAGCUAGAGUGCGGUAGAGGAUGGUGGAAUUCCCGGUGUAGCGGUGAAAUGCGUAGAGAUCGGGAGGAGCACCCGUGGCGAAGGCGGCCAUCUGGACCAGCACUGACGCUGAGGCACGAAAGCGUGGGGAGCAAACAGG
rnacentral:rRNA from 1 species